CCUACGGGAGGCAGCAGUGAGGAAUAUUUGUCAAUGGACGCGAGCCUGAACCAGCCAAGUAGCGUGAAGGAUGACUGCCCUAUGGGUUGUAAACUUCUUUUAUAUGGGAAUAAAUUGCAGCACGUGUACCUCUUUGCAUGUACCUUAUUAAUACGGAUCGGCUAACUCCGUGCCAGCAGCCGCGGUAAUACGGAGGAUCCGAGCGUUAUCCGGAUUUAUUGGGUUUAAAGGGAGCGUAGGUGGGUUGUUAAGUCAGUUGUGAAAGUUUGCGGCUCAACCGUAAGAUUGCAAUUGAUACUGGCAGACUUGAGUACAGUAGAGGUAGGCGGAAUUCGUGGUGUAGCGGUGAAAUGCUUAGAUAUCACGAAGAACCCCGAUUGCGAAGGCAGCUUGCUAGACUGUAACUGACGUUGAUGCUCGAAAGUGUGGGUAUCAAACAGGAUUAGAUACCCUAGUAGUC
rnacentral:rRNA from 1 species